GGAUUCCCCUAGUAACUGCGAGUGAAGCGGGAAAAGCUCAAAUUUAAAAUCCCUUACGGGAGUUGUAAUCUAGAGAAGUGUUUUCGGUUGUUACUUCGAACAAGUUCCUUGGAACAGGACGUCAUAGAGGGUGAGAAUCCCGUACUUGUCGAAAUCCUAAUAACUAUGUGAUACACUCUCGAAGAGUCGAGUUGUUUGGGAAUGCAGCUCAAAAUGGGUGGUAAACUCCAUCUAAAGCUAAAUAUUGGCGAGAGACCGAUAGCGAACAAGUACCGUGAGGGAAAGAUGAAAAGCACUUUGGAAAGAGAGUUAAACAGUACGUGAAAUUGUUGAAAGGGAAGCGCUUGAAGUCAGUCGCGUCUCAGACACUCAGCCUCACGGCGCAUUUGUCUUUGACGGGUCAACAUCAAUUUUGACCGCGGGAAAAGGGUUUGAGGAAUGUGGCUGCCUCGGCAGUGUUAUAGCCUCUUGCCGUACACCGCGGUUGGGAUUGAGGUCUGCUAAUACAGGAUGUUGACGAAAUGGCUUUAAGCGACCCGUCUUGAAACACGGACCAAGGAGUCUAACAUGUCUGCGAGUGUUUGGGUGUCAAACCCAUGCGCGCAAUGAAAGUAAACGUAGGUCAGAGGCUUCGGCCGCAUGAUCGACCGAUCCGGAUCUUUAGUGAUGGAUUUGAGUAAGAGCAUAUAUGUUGGGACCCGAAAGAUGGUGAACUAUGCCUGAAUAGGGCGAAGCCAGAGGAAACUCUGGUGGAGGCUCGUAGCGAUUCUGACGUGCAAAUCGAUCGUCAAAUUUGGGUAUAGGGGCGAAAGACUAAUCGAACCAUCUA
rnacentral:rRNA from 1 species